UCCCCCUCCCGCGAUUCCCACCGUCGCCACCCCCACCCACCACCGCCGACCUCGUCUCCGCCACACACCCUCUCCCCUCGCCUUCAUCCCCCAGAUCCACCAGUCUGCUUCUCGGCCAUGGCGUCACGGCCGGUUUUCUCGCCAGCACGCGCGUGCGUGCUUCGAUGCGCGCCGCUCCGUCGAGCUGGCCGGACCGUGGAGCGCGCGUGGACCGUGUAUCCGCUACCAAAUCUCCCCUCCGCUCCCGAAUCAAACCUCCCAAAUCUCUCCCCCGCUCCCGAAUCAAAUCCCCAUCACCUCCGCCACCACCCCACCUACUCCCACCGCCGUCGCGAGCCACGAGCGCGAGCGGGGCGAUGGCCAAUCCUCUGCUUCUCCUCGAAGUCCCCACUCCAUUCGUCGUGCAUACCCUAGGACGACGGCGGCCGACAGAUCUAGGGAGACGACGAACCCUAGCCGCAACGGCUUGUUGGUGUGGCUGCGGCGCAUCUGAUACUCGCCCCGAGCUCCCUCCUCCUCCGUUGCUGUGGCCGCCUUGGGACGAUAUUCGCCGCCUGUGACCGCUGUGUUGGGAACCGGUCCGGCCAAGGGGAAGACGGGUUCCCAGCCAACGCAGCGUCCGGUGAAGCGGCUCUACCUGCGGCCCGAUUGCGCUCACAACGUCCCCGUCACCAAGUUCAAUCAAAAGACUGGCAAGCCUCUCAAGUGUAAAGAAAAUGGUACGCUCUCAAGUCUAAGAUGGAUACAGAGCGGUGUAUGCAUGUGCCAAACUGAAACCAUAUGUGUUACGUAGGGAAUUCUUGCUCCGCUCGGAAGGAGUUGUCAUUUCCGUGGGAGUCUCUGACCUCUUAUUCUACUACCUAUUGCUGCUGCUGCUGGGUGUCUGUAGCUACAGGGGAAUCCACUGUAGUCCUACUUGCGAACUCAACUAAACUGCAGCACAGUUUGAAUAUAGCACCUAACACUGAUGUAAAAGAUGUCCAUGGAGAAGAUGGCCAUUGGACUGUAGGGGAGCGAGAGGGCUGUCACCAAGAAGGAAGGCAUUGACCUUGCCAAGGAGUAUGGAUGUCUAUCUGGAAUGCAGCGCAAAGACCAAAGUGAAUGUUUAGUAGUGGUUUGAAGAGGUUGUACUGAAGAUUGACAGGAGCAGGAGAGUCUGUGAUUGCUAUAGAAGGACUGAAGUAGCUUCAUGUUGAAGAAAAUUUGAGACACAUGGAGUUGGUUCAGCCUUGAGUGACCUGGAGAAGCAGGGCAUUGCCGGGGAGAUCUCUGACUUGUGUCGUGAUGGUGGCGUCUAUUCAUGUUUCGUCGCGAGCUCCAGGAUGAAGUUGGAAGAAGCAAUGCAUGCCCGAUCUUUAUCUCGGGAGUAUGCCAAUGGCUAGCUUUAUAGAAGGGAUGCAUGCUGGAUCUAGGCAUGCAUGCAUGUUCUAGAAUCCGUACUUCAGAACCUAAAUGCUGAUUUUUCUGGGAAAUUUGUUGUACUGGUGAUUUGCUGAGAAUUUGGUGUAUAUUUGCUUGCCACUAUGUUUACUUGAAAUUUAUUUAUGGAUUGGAAAUUAUAUUGGCAUUGAA